AGUGAACGCUGGCGGUGGGCCUAACACAUGCAAGUCGAACGGCAGCACAGUAAGAGCUUGCUCUUACGGGUGGCGAGUGGCGGACGGGUGAGGAAUACAUCGGAUUCUACUUUUUCGUGGGGGAUAACGGAGGGAAACUUACGCUAAUACCGAAUACUACCUACGGCUGAAAGCAGGGGAUCUUCAGACCUUGCGCGAUUGAAUGAGCCGAUGUCGGAUUAGCUAGUUGGCGGGGUAAAGGCCCACCAAGGCGACGAUCCGUAGCUGGUCUGAGAGGAUGAUCAGCCACACUGGAACUGAGACACGGUCCAGACUCCUACGGGAGGCAGCAGUGGGGAAUAUUGGACAAUGGGCGCAAGCCUGAUCCAGCCAUACCGCGUGGGUGAAGAAGGCCUUCGGGUUGUAAAGCCCUUUUGUUAGGAAAGAAAAGCAGCAGGUUAAUACCCCGCUGUUCUGACGGUACCCAAAGAAUAAGCACCGGCUAACUUCGUG
rnacentral:rRNA from 1 species